GAUGAACGCUGGCGGCGUGCCUAAUACAUGCAAGUCGAGCGAACAGACGAGGCGCUUGCUCCUCUUACGUUACCGGCGGACGGGUGAUUCACACGUGUAUACCCUACCUAUAAGACUAGGAUAACUUCGGGAAACCGGAGCUAAUACCGGAUAAUAUAUUGAACCUCAUGGUUCAAUAGUGAAAGACGGUUUUGCUGUCACUUAUAGAUAGAUCCUCGCCGCAUUAGCUAGUUGGUAAGGUAACGGCUUACCAAGGCAACGAUGCGUAGCCGACCUGAGAGGGUGAUCGGCCACACUGGAACUGAGACACGGUCCAGACUCCUACGGGAGGCAGCAGUAGGGAAUCUUGCGCAAUGGGCGAAAGCCUGACGGAGCAAUGCCGCGUGAGUGAUGAAGGUCUUCGGAUCGUAAAACUCUGUUAUUAGGGAAGAAGAAAUGUGUAAGUAACUAUGCACGUCUUGACGGUACCUAAUCAGAAAGCCACGGCUAACUACGUG
rnacentral:rRNA from 1 species